AAUCUGGGCAGUUUUGGACACUAAGCACCAAAUUGGACGAAUUUGGGUUUCAACUUGAAUCAAAACACUUAAAAACACAAAGUAAAACACUUACUAACUAAUUUGACACUUUAAAACAAAGGGGGAUUGGUUUUGGACGAAUUUAAAAAACAAAACAAACUUUGUAAAUUAGAACAGAUUGUAAAAACGAAUUUGAUUUAAAUGGGUGAAUGGAAGGCUAGCUAAGGGGUUCAUCUCCACACAUGUUAUACUUGCAUACAAAACGAUUUCCAAUUGCUUUUCAAUAAACCAUGAAUUCUCAAUGCCCCAAGUUAAUUAGUUCCGCUUAAAUUAACCCUUCAGAUUUUCCUAACGUUAUUGAAUUGGAUGAUUGCAUACGACAACCCAAAACAUUCCCCACAAGUCCCCUACAUGAUUGCAUAAUAGAGAUACAAGCAAGAAUCAUUAAGUUCUAUGAAAAUCAUAAGCAUUGACGAAGCACUUGUUACUAUGAUUGCAUGAAA
rnacentral:lncRNA from 1 species